CUUCCUGGCUACAGGGGAAUCCCAGCGGGAGCUGGCUGAUCGGUCAGGAGUGUGCCAAUCAACCUUGCGCCGAGCCAUGCCAACUGUGUGGAACGGAAUGAUCCAAAUGUCAUCAGGUACAUCCCAUUCCAACAUUAAACUGCCGAACAGGCAAA